rnacentral:rRNA from 1 species
AUACGGAGGGUGCGAGCGUUACUCGGAGUCACUGGGCGUAAAGCGUCCGUAGGCGGUCGGGUAAGUCGGGUGUGAAAGCCCCGGCUCAACCUGGGAAGUGCACCCGAUACUGCUCGACUCGAGUGCGGGAGAGGAUGGCGGAAUUCCCGGUGUAGCGGUGAAAUGCGUAGAGAUCGGGAGGAACACCAGUGGCGAAGGCGGUCAUCUGGCCCGCAACUGACGCUGAGGGACGAAAGCGUGGGGAGCAAACAGGAUUAGAAACCCUAGUAGUCC